rnacentral:rRNA from 1 species
GACGAACGCUGGCGGCGUGCCUAAUACAUGCAAGUCGAACGAGAGCGACCGGUGCUUGCACUGGUCAAUCUAGUGGCGAACGGGUGAGUAACACGUGGGUAACCUGCCCAUCAGAGGGGGAUAACAUUCGGAAACGGAUGCUAAAACCGCAUAGGUCUUCGAACCGCAUGGUUUGAAGAGGAAAAGAGGCGCAAGCUUCUGCUGAUGGAUGGACCCGCGGUGCAUUAGCUAGUUGGUGAGGUAACGGCUCACCAAGGCCGUGAUGCAUAGCCGACCUGAGAGGGUGAUCGGCCACAUUGGGACUGAGACACGGCCCAAACUCCUACGGGAGGCAGCAGUAGGGAAUCUUCCGCAAUGGACGCAAGUCUGACGGAGCAACGCCGCGUGAGUGAAGAAGGUUUUCGGAUCGUAAAACUCUGUUGUUAGAGAAGAACAAGUGCUAGAGUAACUGUUAGCGCCUUGACGGUAUCUAACCAGAAAGCCACGGCUAACUACGUGCCAGCAGCCGCGGUAAUACGUAGGUGGCAAGCGUUGUCCGGAUUUAUUGGGCGUAAAGCGAGCGCAGGCGGUUCCUUAAGUCUGAUGUGAAAGCCCCCGGCUCAACCGGGGAGGGUCAUUGGAAACUGGGGAACUUGAGUGCAGAAGAGGAGAGUGGAAUUCCAUGUGUAGCGGUGAAAUGCGUAGAUAUAUGGAGGAACACCAGUGGCGAAGGCGACUCUCUGGUCUGUAACUGACGCUGAGGCUCGAAAGCGUGGGUAGCAAACAGGAUUAGAUACCCUGGUAGUCCACGCCGUAAACGAUGAGUGCUAAGUGUUGGAGGGUUUCCGCCCUUCAGUGCUGCAGUUAACGCAU